rnacentral:rRNA from 1 species
GAUGAACGCUGGCGGCGUGCCUAAUACAUGCAAGUCGAGCGAACAGACGAGGAGCUUGCUCCUCUGACGUUAGCGGCGGACGGGUGAGUAACACGUGGAUAACCUACCUAUAAGACUGGGAUAACUUCGGGAAACCGGAGCUAAUACCGGAUAAUAUAUUGAACCGCAUGGUUCAAUAGUGAAAGACGGUUUUGCUGUCACUUCUAGAUGGAUCCUCGCCGCAUUAGCUAGUUGGUAAGUUAACGGCUUACCAAGGCAACGAUGCGUAGACGACCUGAGAGGGUGAUCGGCCACACUGGAACUGAGACACGGUCCAGACUCCUACGGGAGGCGGCAGUAGGGAAUCUUCCGCAAUGGGCGAAAGCCUGACGGAGCAACGCCGCGUGAGUGAUGACGGUCUUCGGAUCGUAAAACUCUGUUAUUAGGGAAGAACAAAUGUGUAAGUAACUAUGCACGUCUUGACGGUAACUAAUCAGAAAGCCACGGCUAACUACGUG